rnacentral:tRNA from 1 species
GGAGACGUGGCCGAGCGGUUAGGCAGAGGUCUGCAAAACCUUCUACGGCGGUUCAAAUCCGCCCGUCUCCU